GACCCGACCCUACCCGUCCUCAAUUCUAUUUGUAUUUAAAAAAAUGGUCUGAAUUCUGCGGGUCGGUUUGUACCAGAUCUCUAAAAAAUCUACCCGUUUCUAAAAAAACCCUAAUUGUGCAGCUAUAAAGGUUUCGCCAGCCUCCAGUCUAAAUCUUGCCCAUUUAACUUUCCAUCCUCUUCUCCAUCAUCAUCUCUCUGCUUUUGCGUUUAAUCUUCUUAUUUAAUUGUCCUGAUUUAAUUAUUCAUGAAUUUGGUUAUUUUCUUAAUUAAUAUUUUUUAAUCGAGAAAAUCAGUGAGCAUCUGCCUAUGAUUCUUUGUAGCUGUUGUUGCCAUAGCUCAAAGAAUACGAAGCGAUGCAAAAUCAGAAAAGGGUACUUCUGGACAAGCAGAUUUCAAUAAUGAAUUCUUGCUUUUUCUCUGUAUAAUUCAGUUAGAAGGGUUUGGUGCAAUAGAAGGAGGAGGAGAGUUGUUUGGGGCAGAGGCAUUCGAGAAUAGGAGUUUGAAGAAUUUUUGAGCAAGCACUUGAUUUGCUGCAUCAGAUGGGUGAAAUGCAUCCCAGAAAACAUAUUCUUUACGAUUCUUGCAUAGUUUUGAAUUGGGCAAGCAUAAUCCUCCUAUUGAUGUGUCCACAUUGCAACAUGAUGUGUUUGACACCUUGAAACCUGGCAGAAUUAAAAAUAAUCCUUAAAAGUCAGUUUUUUUUUUUUGUUCCACUAGAACUUGACUUUGAGGUUUAAUUGUCAUCAAAUUCCUGGAGCAUGAAUUUACCAUAAGCGGUAGGGUUGUCUAUCAGAUCCAGAACAUCUCCAUAAGUGUCUGCAAAUAAGAAUCUGGCAUUACGAAGUUGGUGGUUUAGAGUGGCAAGUUGGUUUUGUACUCUGGAGUUGAAUUCCAACACCCAUUCGUUCACUCUUUUCAAGCACUCCCCCUUCUUUGAUUUCACUCUCUGAGAAGGGAUGCAGCCUAGAGGACCUAAUCCGUGGAAUACUAUCUUUCUUGCACCCAGUUGGUAUAGUCUCUGCAAUAAGCAAAAUUAAUGAAUGUUGUGCUGGCAAAAAGAUUAAAAAAAAAAAAAAGUGUUUUGACGGAGAACUUUUAACUGUAAGUUGUUGUUUUAGUGUGGAUAUUAAGAGCUCCACAAAUUCAUCGUGUGUGUAUUGUUGGCCAUCUGCUAAAAAGGGCUGCAAGUAGUUGUUUACAUAGUCAUUGCUGCCUGUAAAUAGAAGACACCCAAAAAUAAAAUGGUUAUGGAGCUGAAUAUGAUAAAAAUACUUGAGAAGAGUAAUUUCAUGGUAGCCCACCAAUUCCAAUGAA